rnacentral:rRNA from 1 species
AUUGAACGCUGGCGGCAGGCCUAACACAUGCAAGUCGAGCGGAUGAAGGGAGCUUGCUCCUGGAUUCAGCGGCGUACGGGUGAGUAAUGCCUAGGAAUCUGCCUGGUAGUGGUUUAUAACGUCCGGAAACGGGCGCUAAUACCGCAUACUUCCUGAUGGAGAAAGUGGGGGAUCUUCGGACCUCACGCUAUCAUAUGAGCCUAGGUCGGAUUAGCUAGUUGGUGGGGUAAAGGCCUACCAAGGCGACCAUCCGUAACUGGUCUGAGAGGAUGAUCAGUCACACUGGAACUGAGACAGGGUCCAGACUCCUACGGGAGGCAGCAGUGGGGAAUAUUGGACAAUGGGCGAAAGCAUGAUCCAGCCAUGCCGCGUGUGUGAAGAAGGUCUUCGGAUUGUAAAGCACUUUAAGUUGGGAGGAAGGGCAGUAAGUUAAUACCUUGCUGUUUUGACGUUACCAACAGAAUAAGCACCGGCUAACUUCGUG